UACAGAGGGGGCAAGCGUUAUUCGGAAUUAUUGGGCGUAAAGGGCGCGUAGGCGGCCUGGCAAGUGGAAGGUGAAAUCCCUCGGCUUAACCGAGGAACUGCCCUCCAAACUGCUUGGCUUGAGUCCGGGAGAGGUGAGUGGAAUUCCCAGUGUAGCGGUGAAAUGCGUAGAUAUUGGGAGGAACACCAGUGGCGAAGGCGGCUCACUGGACCGGCACUGACGCUGAGGUGCGAAAGCGUGGGGAGCAAACAGG
rnacentral:rRNA from 1 species